rnacentral:rRNA from 1 species
UACGAAGGGGGCGAGCGUUGUUCGGAUUUACUGGGCGUAAAGGGCGCGUAGGCGGCCCACCAAGUCAGGCGUGAAAGCCCCGGGCUCAACCUGGGAACAGCGCUUGAGACUGGCACGCUCGAGUUCGGGAGAGGAUGGUGGAAUUCCCAGUGUAGAGGUGAAAUUCGUAGAUAUUGGGAAGAACACCGAUGGCGAAGGCAGCCAUCUGGACCGACACUGACGCUGAGGCGCGAAAGCGUGGGGAGCAAACAGG